rnacentral:lncRNA from 1 species
CAGUGCCGGCCCGAGCGUUAGGCGACCGAGGCGGUCGCCUAAGGCCUCAGGCCAAUGGAGGGCCUCCGAGAGGCGUGACCAAAAGGAAGCAAAGGCCCCAUGUGAAAACAGGAACAGGUGCUUCCCCCUUGAUGGAAGGCUACGAGUCUUCCCCCUUGAUGGAAGGGAGGUGGAGAGUUUCCUGGCCUGCAGAGAGGCAAUUUGGGAAGUUGGGGACAGUAGUUU